GGAGAUAUAGCUCAAUCGGAUAGAGCAUUCCUCUCCUAAAGGAAAGGUUCCCGGUUCAAUUCCGGGUAUCUCCG
rnacentral:tRNA from 1 species